AGUGAACGCUGGCGGUAGGCCUAACACAUGCAAGUCGAACGGCAGCACAGUAAGAGCUUGCUCUUACGGGUGGCGAGUGGCGGACGGGUGAGGAAUACAUCGGAAUCUACUUUUUCGUGGGGGAUAACGUAGGGAAACUUACGCUAAUACCGCAUACGACCUACGGGUGAAAGCAGGGGAUCUUCGGACCUUGCGCGAUUGAAUGAGCCGAUGUCGGAUUAGCUAGUUGGCGGGGUAAAGGCCCACCAAGGCGACGAUCCGUAGCUGGUCUGAGAGGAUGAUCAGCCACACUGGACAUGAGAAACGGCCCAGACCCCGAGGGGAGGCAGCAGUGGGGAAUAUUGGAAAAGGGGGGAAACCCUGAUCCAGCCAUACCGGGUGGGGGAAGAAGGCCUUCGGGUUGUAAAGCCCUUUUUUUGGGAAAAAAAAGCAGCAGGUUAAUACCCCGCUGUUCUGACGGUACCAAAAGAAUAAGCACCGGCUAACUUCGG
rnacentral:rRNA from 1 species